rnacentral:lncRNA from 1 species
UUAUUUUGGUUGCAAAUUGCAACCACUUAUUUUCGGUCUCUAAAUUUGGUGACUAAAAUGUUAUUUUUUUGUAAUGUCAAGUGAAUCCCUGUCGAGAGCAUGUUAAAGAAAUCGCUCGGCCAAGGUCGAUUCACCCAAAUGAAUCCCUGCCAAGAGCACGUUAAAAGAAAACCACUCGGUCAAGGUCGAUUCACCCAUGAAUCCCUUUCAAGAGUGUGUCAAAAAAACCUCUCGGUCAAGGAAGAAUUCACUUACGUGAAUCCCUAUCGAGAGACUGUCAAAGAAAACCUCUCAGCCAAGGUCAAUUCACCCAAAUGAAUCCAUGCCGAGAGCGCGUUACAGAAACCUCUCGGCCAAGGUCGAUUCACCCGUGAAUCCCUGCCGAGAGCACGUCAAAGAACCCUCUCGGCGUAGGUAGAAAUUCACCUAUGUGAAUCCUUGCCGAGAGUCGGAUAAGAAACCUCUUGGCGAAGGUAGAACUCACCUACGUGAAUCCCUGCCGAUAGUUCGUAAGAGAAAACCUCUCGGAGAAGGUAGAAUUCACUUGUGACCGGGAUUCCGAUAAGAAAACCUCCUGGCAAAGGUAGAAUUCACCUAUGUGAAUCCCUGCCGAGAGUCCGAUAAGAAACCUCUCGGAGAAGCUAGAAUUCACCUGUGUAUCCCUACCAGGUCCGUAAGAGAAAACCUCUUGGCAAAGGUAGAAUUCAUAUAUGUGAAUCCAUGCCGAGAGUCCGAUAAGAAAACCUUUUGGCAAAGGUAGAAUUCACUGAAUCCCUACUGAGAGUCCGAUAAGAAACCUCUCGGAGAAGGUAGAAUUCACCUGUGAAUCCCUGCCAAGAGUCUGAUAAGAAACCUCUUGGCGAAGGUAGAAUUCACCUACGUGAAUCCCUGUCGAGAGUCCGUAAAAGAAAACCUCUUGGAAAAGGUAGAAUUCACCUCCGUGAAUCCCUGCCGAGAGUCCGAUAAGAAAUCUCUCAGAGAAGGUAGAAUUCAUAUAUGUGAAUCCAUGACGAGAGUUCGAUAAGAAAAUAUCUUAGCGAAGGUAGAAUUCACCUAUGUGAAUCCCUGCCGAGAGUUUGAUAAGAAACCUCUUGACGAAGGUAGAAUUGAUAUAAACCCACUAACAUGAUAGGAUAUGAUAUGAACAUGUUAUGGAUUCAAUAAGAGUUGGAAUAUGAUUAGGCACUUUUUAAGAAUUUGAUCAAUGUUCUUAAACAUUCAAGAACUCACCAAAACACAAGUAACCAAGCCAAACUCACAUAGAAACCCAUUUUUGGACAUAUGAACCGUUUGACACAAGGAAGAACACAAAUGCACUGAUUAAAAGUCCAAGAAACACAAUCAUAACCACAAGAACAGCAAACCAAAUGAAACUACCGAAUAUAAACACAAGACAAACAAGUUCUACCGAUUGAAAUAACAAGAAACAACAAAAACAUGUUUUAGAGUUUGUUUUGGAAUGGAAAUGGAAGAAGAAGAUGAAAAGGACAAGGAAACUUAUGUGGUUGGAGCUCUUGGAAAUGUGCACGCCACUUGAAGGAUGGUUGGCUUCAAGAUGAGUGUUGUUGCCGCCACUUGAGAGACCAAGAAUUCACUCAAGAUAAGACUAGAAGAGAAGAAAACACAAGUCUUUCUCAAUUCACUCACCAAUUUGGUAGAGGUUCAUUAUUCACAAAAUCAAUCCUAUUAUUUUAAAGACCUAAGCCUUCCUUUUAUAAUGAGGAGGACUAGUCACAAGUAAAAGGGAAGCUUACAAGAGAAGCUUUGAAAUGUGACCUUCUAACUCUUCCUAUUUUAGUGCCUAAAGGAGAGUGAAGAGGCACCUUUCUAGAUCUUUCCUAAAAACUAAUGCCUAAAUGUGCAAUACAAAGGAGGUGUCUUAGGUGUCCAUCUUUAGCACCUUCCUAAACACUACUCUAUAUGUUUUACAAUUUUAUACAAAAGAAACUAUAAAAAGAGAAAACAUUUGAAGCCUACUACCUAACUCCUUAGCUUUGCUCCUUGUAAUCCUUUGAGGUAUAAAGGAUGAUGAGCUAAUGUGUCUUUGAGCAUCUUGAACUUCAACCUCAUUCUCUUCUUCUUCUUGAUCUCCAUCAAGAAUUCACCUACGUGAAUCCCUGUCGAGAGUCCGAUAAGAAACCUCUCGACAAGGUAGAAUUCACUUACGUGAAUACCUGCUGAGAGUCCGUAAAAGUAAACCUCUUGCCCAAGGUAGAAUUCACUUAUGUAAAUCCCUGGCGAGAGUUCGAUAAGAAACCUCUCAGAGAAGGUAGAAUUCACCUAUGUGAAUCCCUGCCGAGAGUCCGAUAAGAAACCUCUUGGCGAAGGUAGAAUUCACCUACGUGAAUCCCUG